UAUCUGUCGGGAGUUAUUUUCUUCCCUCCAAUUUUAUUUGCAACGAUAGUUUCUAGUGACAGAAUAUCUGGAAACAUGGACCCCCUUUUCGUAAAGCUUUUCAUUUCUUUUUCUUCUUCUUUAGUUUGCUGGAGGUUUCAAUAUUCCGAAUACAAAGCUGGAAGACGAUAGAUUCAGCAAGAGAGAGAGAUGUGAAUAUGAAUGUGAAUGGUGCAUGAUAUAUGACAGCGAGGAAUGUACAUGGCUGGUAUUAUUAAUAAGAAUAAUGUAAACCUUCAAAGCAUUUUGCAGACU